GCCCUGCAGGACAGCUCAGUUGGCAGAGCGGGAGACUCUUAAUCUCAGGGCCGUGGGUUUGAGUCCCACACUGGGCA